rnacentral:rRNA from 1 species
AUUGAACGCUGGCGGCAUGCUUUAUACAUGCAAGUCGUGCGGCAGCGCGGGGGCAACUCUGGCGGCGAGCGGCGAACAGGUGAGUAAUACAUAGGAACGUAUCCUGAAAUGGGGGAUAGCUCGGCGAAAGCCGGAUUAAUACCGCAUACGCUCCACGGAGGAAAGCAGGGGAUCGCAAGACCUUGCGUUUCUGGAGCGGCCUAUGUCUGAUUAGCUAGUUGGCGGGGUAAUAGCCCACCAAGGCGACGAUCAGUAGCUGGUCUGAGAGGAUGAUCAGCCACACUGGGACUGAGACACGGCCCAGACCCCUACGGAGGCAGCAGUAGGGAA